GAUGAACGCUGGCGGCGUGCCUAAUACAUGCAAGUCGAGCGAACCACUUCGGUGGUGAGCGGCGAACGGGUGAGUAACACGUAGGUGAUCUGCCCAUCAGACGGGGACAACGAUUGGAAACGAUCGCUAAUACCGGAUAGGACGAAAGUUUAAAGGUGCUUCUGGCACCGCUGAUGGAUGAGCCUGCGGCGCAUUAGCUAGUUGGUAGGGUAAAGGCCUACCAAGGCGACGAUGCGUAGCCGACCUGAGAGGGUGAACGGCCACACUGGGACUGAGACACGGCCCAGACUCCUACGGGAGGCAGCAGUAGGGAAUCUUCGGCAAUGGGCGAAAGCCUGACCCGAGCAAACGCCGCGUGAAUGAUGAAGGCCUUCGGUGUAAA
rnacentral:rRNA from 1 species